rnacentral:rRNA from 1 species
AACGAACGCUGGCGGCAUGCCUAACACAUGCAAGUCGAACGAGACCUUCGGGUCUAGUGGCGCACGGGUGCGUAACGCGUGGGAACCUGCCUUUAGGUUCGGAAUAACUCAGAGAAAUUUGAGCUAAUACCGGACGAUGUCUUCGGACCAAAGAUUUAUCGCCUUUAGAUGGGCCCGCGUUGGAUUAGCUAGUUGGUGGGGUAAAGGCCUACCAAGGCGACGAUCCAUAGCUGGUCUGAGAGGAUGAUCAGCCACACUGGGACUGAGACACGGCCCAGACUCCUACGGGAGGCAGCAGUGGGGAAUAUUGGACAAUGGGCGAAAGCCUGAUCCAGCAAUGCCGCGUGAGUGAUGAAGGCCUUAGGGUUGUAAAGCUCUUUUACCCGAGAUGAUAAUGACAGUAUCGGGAGAAUAAGCUCCGGCUAACUCCGUG